rnacentral:rRNA from 1 species
GAUGAACGCUAGCGGCUGGCUUAAUACAUGCAAGUCGAACGGUAGCAGGGAGUAGCAAUACUCCGCUGACGAGUGGCGCACGGGUGAGUAACGCGUAUGCAAUCUGCCUUCAACUGGAGAAUAGCCCCUCGAAAGAGGGAUUAAUACUCCAUAAUAUUAAGAUAUGGCAUCAUAUUUUAAUUAAAGCUCCGGCGGUUGAAGAUGAGCAUGCGUGACAUUAGUUUGUUGGUGAGGUAAAGGCUCACCAAGACUACGAUGUCUAGGGGGUCUGAAAGGAUGAUCCCCCACACUGGUACUGAGACACGGACCAGACUCCUACGGGAGGCAGCAGUAAGGAAUAUUGGUCAAUGGACGCAAGUCUGAACCAGCCAUGCCGCGUGCAGGAUGACGGCCCUACGGGUUGUAAACUGCUUUUAUACGGGAAAAACCCUCGUUCGUGAACGAGGCUGAUGGUACCGUACGAAUAAGGAUCGGCUAACUCCGUGCC